UAGUUACGUCUUGUCUUGAAAUGUAAAUAAAUUGAUACUUGUAAAAAUUGUUUAAUUUUCAGAAAGGUCGUUCAAUAUGGAAGAGAAGGAGAACAGGCAAAGUUCAACUAACGGAGAGAUUGGUAGGGAUUUACAGCAAGGAUCCAUUGCAAAGAUUGACACAUUAUCUAAUCGUACAGGAGGGAAAAAGACAAAACGGGAAAAUAGUCAACACCCUGCAAAAGCCAAGAAAGCAAAGACAAUGGAAACACACCCCUCUCACUC